UGCUAUAUUUAUCACUUUGUUGUGUUAAAUUUUAAAGAUUAAUUUAUAUAAAUUUCAGAAUAUUCUGUUACAUUAUUAGCCUGUUAUAGUUUCAGUGGAUUAUUUUGUUAUUAUAAAACAUUCCUUAUUGUCUCUUGUAGGUUUUUACACACCAAAUUCUAUUCUACCAAUUUAAACCUGACAGCUACAAGAGCUACAGAAACUUCAGUGAAGGAAUAAAGCAUAUCUCCUCAGUUAUUUCUGGCUUCUACUACCAGAUAUGAUCACAUAGAGGCAUGAAAGAGAAGAGCACGUUACAUAUGACUUCCCUCUUGAAUAAUGAAGAGAUGUAUACAAGCAGUUUCCCAAUUUUAAAAGGAAAGCAUGUUCAGGUGUCUCAUCACUAAUUAGGCAUCUUCUUGAAAGACCAGAAUGGAAACCAGGGCCCACAGUUGGCACCAUGAAGAUUCUUAGGAGACCCCAACACUCCGUUGGCUACAGGAAGCAGAUGAAUAGACCACCAUGAACAAAUGGACCUGAAAAAGUGUCUAGGAAACACCUGAACAAUGUUGACCAGUUUCAUUUUAUCCAAAAAAUAUGGUGUCUUGGAACGUUGAGUUGUUCAGGAGAGGUUCAGAUGCCUGGAAAAGUGUAUGGCAGCUCUGCUUACCUGCUAUAAGCUCCUCCCAAAUCUGGGAAGCAUUUAAAGGUCAUCUCAAUAUUCCAGUCACUAAAGCAGCUCUAGUCUAUUAACUAGUUUUAUUUCUUAAAUUAUUAAUUUAAUCUAUUUACUUCUUAAAUUAUUAAUUUAAUCUGAAUUGUGCAAUUAAGUAUCUUUAACAUUUUGUGGUAUGACAAACCAAACUGAUUAAACAGAAUGCAGCCAUUCCUUGGAGUCAUAGCUCCUUUCAAAUGCCAGAAGCCCUACCAUGUGAGUCGGAGACAAGAUCUGAUCUAAGAUAUUUCAGCUUUGCUAGUGAUAAACGUAAAGAUCGGUAUAUACAAUUUUCUAAAUUGAAAAAAUGAAGGAAUAUUUGUUACUGUGUUACUAUAUAGGACUAAUUUAUGUUCCCUUCUUUCUGUGGUAGAGAUGAAAGCAUGUAUGUGUGUGUGUGUGUGUUUGUGUGCAUGCACAAAUGAGAAAGAGAAAGAGAAAGAGAAAAAAUAUUAGAAGAAAAUAAUUUUGCUAUUCACCCAGAUGUCAAUAUUUCUGAAUUUUGUUUGUGAAGCCCUAUGGAGAGCUUUAAAGUAGAUUAAAGGCAAGCUAAAUAGAGCUCCUACUUGAGAGACUGGGAUGGGAACACUCAGUGGGAAAUAGUGUGUGUUUUUUCUAAUCAUGAGGGCUUGGAUUUGUAUUACACGUACCCACAAAAAUAUGAGUAUGGUUUCAGGUGUUUUUAACUUCAGCUGUAAUGGGCAAACAUAGAGGAUCCUGGGAGAUCAUUGGCUAGUAGUUUAGUUCCAGGUUCAGUGAGAGACCCUGCCUCAAGGGCAUAAAAUAGAGAGCAACACAAUAUGAUCCCAUAUUUCUUUUCUAGCUUUCACAUGGAUUUUUGCUUGCCUUUAAAAAUAACAAAAACUGUGUAUAAAUAGUCUAUACAUCUGAAUAAUUAUUUAUCUAGUAGCAUUUAUUUAAUAUUUGUUGUAUACCUUAAUUAGUUAAUGUUAUUGUAUCUCAUUCUUACAUCUUUUUUUAUUUUUAUAUUUGCAUACAUCAUUGUUCAUUGUAUCAUUUUAUAAACACAUUUACUAAAUACAACAC